UACGUAGGGGCUAGCGUUAUCCGGAAUUACUGGGCGUAAAGGGUGCGUAGGUGGUUUCUUAAGUCAGAGGUGAAAGGCUACGGCUCAACCGUAGUAAGCCUUUGAAACUGGGAAACUUGAGUGCAGAAGAGGAGAGUGGAAUUCCUAGUGUAGCGGUGAAAUGCGUAGAUAUUAGGAGGAACACCAGUUGCGAAGGCGGCUCUCUGGACUGUAACUGACACUGAGGCACGAAAGCGAGGGGAGCAAACAGGAUUAGAUACCCUGGUAGUCCCUGAG
rnacentral:rRNA from 1 species